UAACGGCAUGUACUGUCUGGCUGGGUCUUACCUCUUGGUGAGCCGGUGUGCCCUUUNUUGGAUGCANCGGGGAACCAGGACUUUUACCUUGAGAAAAUUAGAGUGUUCAAAGCAGGCCUAUGCCCGAAUACAUUAGCAUGGAAUAAUNAAAUAGGACGUGCGGUUCUAUUUUGUUGGUUUCUAGAGUCGCCGUAAUGAUUAAUAGGGAUAGUNGGGGGCANNGGUAUNGAGUCGCUAGAGGUGAAAUUCUUGGAUUGACUCAAGANCAACUNUUGCGAAAGCAUUUGCCAAGGAUGUUUUCAUUAAUCAAGAACGAAGGUUAGGGGAUCGAAAACGAUCAGAUACCGUUGUAGUCUUAACC
rnacentral:rRNA from 1 species